AGAAAAAUAAUGAGGAGCGUCACGGGGUAUUACUAUAUAGGCCUUGUAGAGGAGAAACAGGCGCAUCUUUUGCGCAAGGUAUUGAAGGGCGCUAUGUUCAAAAAUCUGAAACUAGAGCUCAAAAUUUGAAAAAAAAUUUCUUAAAAACAGGGGGGUUGGCCUAUUCCAUGGCUUCCACAGAAAAAUAAUGAGGGAUGUCACGGGGUAUGACUAUAUAGGUCUUGUAGAGGAGAAACAGGCGCAUUUUUUGCGCAAGGUAUCGAAGGGCGCUAUGUUCAAAAAUCUGAAACUAGAGCUCAAAAUUUGAAAAAAAAUUGUUAAAAACAGGGGGAAUGGCCUAUUCCAUGGGUUCUAGAGAAAAAUAAUGAGGGGUGUCACGGGGUAUGACUAUAUAGGUCUUGUAGAAGAGAAACAAGCGCAUCUUUUGCGCAAGGUAACGAAGGGCGCUUUGUUCAAAAAUCUGAAACUAGAGCUCAAAAUUUGAAAAAAAAAAAUUAAAAACAGGGGGUUGGCCUAUUCCAUGGCGUCUAGAGAAAAAUAAUGAAGGAUGUCACGGGGUAUGACAAUAUAGGUCUUGUAGAGGAGAAACAGGCGCAUCUCUUGCGCAAGGUAUCGAAGGGCGCUAUGUUCAAAAAUCUGAAACUAGAGCUCAAAAUUUGAAAAAAAAUUGUUAAAAACAGGGGGGUUGGCCUAUUCCGUGGUUUCUUGAGAAAAAUAAUGAGGGGUCCAUGGUUUCUAGAGAAAAAUAAUGAGGGGUAUCACGGGGUAUGUCUAUAUAGGUCUUGUAGAGGAGAAACAGGCGCAUCUUUUGCGCAAGGUAUCGAAGGGCGCUAUGUUCAAAAAUCUGAAACUAGAGCUCAAAAUUUGAAAUUUUUUUGUUAAAAACAGGGGAAAUGGCCUAUUCCAUGGCUUCUAGAGAAAAAUAAUGAGGGGUGUCACGGGGUAUGACUAUAUAGGUCUUGUAGAGGAGAAACAGGCGCAUCUUUUGCGCAAGGUAUCGAAGGGCGCUAUGUUCAAAAAUCUGAAACUAGAGCUAAAAAUUUGAAAAAAAUUGUUAAAAACAGGGGGGUUGGCCUAGUCCAUGGCUUCUAGAGAAAAAUAAUGAGGGGUGUCACGGAGUAUGACUAUAUAGGUCUUGUAGAAGAGAAACAAGCGCAUCUUUUGCGCAAGGUAACGAAGGGCGCUUUGUUCAAAAAUCUGAAACUAGAGCUCAAAAUUUGAAAAAAAAAAAUUAAAAACAGGGGGUUGGCCUAUUCCAUGGCGUCUAGAGAAAAAUAAUGAAGGAUGUCACGGGGUAUGACAAUAUAGGUCUUGUAGAGGAGAAACAGGCGCAUCUCUUGCGCAAGGUAUCGAAGGGCGCUAUGUUCAAAAAUCUGAAACUAGAGCUCAAAAUUUGAAAAAAAAUUGUUAAAAACAGGGGGGUUGGCCUAUUCCGUGGUUUCUUGAGAAAAAUAAUGAGGGGUCCAUGGUUUCUAGAGAAAAAUAAUGAGGGGUAUCACGGGGUAUGUCUAUAUAGGUCUUGUAGAGGAGAAACAGGCGCAUCUUUUGCGCAAGGUAUCGAAGGGCGCUAUGUUCAAAAAUCUGAAACUAGAGCUCAAAAUUUGAAAAAAAAAAUUGUUAAAAACAGGGGGUUGGCCUAUUCAAUGCUUCUAGGGAAAAAUAAUGAGGGGUGUCACGGGGUAUGACUAUAUAGGUCUUGUAGAGGAGAAACAGGCGCAUCUCUUGCGCAAGGUAUCGAAGAGCGCUAUGUUCAAAAAUCUGAAACUAGAGCUCAAAAUUUGAAAAAAAUUGUUAAAAACAGGGGGGUUGGCCUAUUCCAUGGUUUCUACAGAAAAAUAAUGAGGGGUGUCACGGGGUAUGUCUAUAUAGGUCUUGUAGAGGAGAAACAGGCGCAUCUUUUGCGCAAGGUAUCGAAGGGCGCUAUGUUCAAAAAUUUGAAACUAGAGCUCAAAAUUUGAAAAAAAGUGUUAAAAACAGGGGGGUUGGCCUAUUCCAUGGCUUCUAGAGAAAAAUAAUGAGGGGUGUCACGGGGUAUGACUAUAUAGGUCUUGUAGAAGAGAAACAGGCGCAUCUUUUGCGCAAGGUAUCGAAGGGCGCUAUGUUCAAAAAUCUGAAACUAGAGCUCAAAAUUUGAAAAAAAAAUAUUAAAAACAGGGGGGUUGGCCUAUUCCAUGGCUUCUACAGAAAAAUAAUGAGGGGUGUCACGGGGUAUGACAAUAUAGGUCUUGUAGAAGAGAAACAGGCGCAUCUCUUGCGCAAGGUUUUGAAGGGCGCUAUGUUAAAAAAUCUGAAACAAGAGCUCAAAAUUUCAAAAAAAUUGUUAAAAACAGGGGGUUGGCCUAUUCCUUGGUUUCUAGAGAAAAAUAAUGAGGGGUCCUUGGUUUCUAGAGAAAAAUAAUGAGGGGUGUCACGGGGUAUGUCUAUAUAGGUCUUGUAGAGGAGAAACAGGUUCAUCUU